rnacentral:rRNA from 1 species
AGCGAACGCUGGCGGCAGGCCUAACACAUGCAAGUCGAACGAACUCUUCGGAGUUAGUGGCGGACGGGUGAGUAACACGUGGGAACGUACCUUUUGGUUCGGAAUAACUCAGGGAAACUUGUGCUAAUACCGAAUGUGCCCUUCGGGGGAAAGAUUUAUCGCCAUUAGAGCGGCCCGCGUCUGAUUAGCUAGUUGGUGAGGUAACGGCUCACCAAGGCGACGAUCAGUAGCUGGUCUGAGAGGAUGACCAGCCACACUGGGACUGAGACACGGCCCAGACUCCUACGGGAGGCAGCAGUGGGGAAUCUUGCGCAAUGGGCGAAAGCCUGACGCAGCCAUGCCGCGUGAAUGAUGAAGGUCUUAGGAUUGUAAAAUUCUUUCACCGGGGACGAUAAUGACGGUACCCGGAGAAGAAGCCCCGGCUAACUUCGUG